rnacentral:tRNA from 2 species
GCGCCCGUAGCUCAGUUGGAUAGAGUACUUGGCUACGAACCAAGGGGUCGGGAGUUCGAAUCUCUCCGGGCGCACCA